AGAGUUUGAUCCUGGCUCAGAACGAACGCUGGCGGCGUGGAUAAGACAUGCAAGUCGAACGAGAGAAUUGCUAGCUUGCUAAUAAUUCUCUAGUGGCGCACGGGUGAGUAACACGUGAGUAACCUGCCCCCGAGAGCGGGAUAGCCCUGGGAAACUGGGAUUAAUACCGCAUAGUAUCGAAAGAUUAAAGCAGCAAUGCGCUUGGGGAUGGGCUCGCGGCCUAUUAGUUAGUUGGUGAGGUAACGGCUCACCAAGGCGAUGACGGGUAGCCGGUCUGAGAGGAUGUCCGGCCACACUGGAACUGAGACACGGUCCAGACACCUACGGGUGGCAGCAGUCGAGAAUCAUUCACAAUGGGGGAAACCCUGAUGGUGUGACGCCGCGUGGGGGAAUGAAGGUCUUCGGAUUGUAAACCCCUGUCAUGUGGGAGCAAAUUAAAAAGAUAGUACCACAAGAGGAAGAGACGGCUAACUCUGUGCCAGCAGCCGCGGUAAUACAGAGGUCUCAAGCGUUGUUCGGAAUCACUGGGCGUAAAGCGUGCGUAGGCUGUUUCGUAAGUCGUGUGUGAAAGGCGCGGGCUCAACCCGCGGACGGCACAUGAUACUGCGAGACUAGAGUAAUGGAGGGGGAACCGGAAUUCUCGGUGUAGCAGUGAAAUGCGUAGAUAUCGAGAGGAACACUCGUGGCGAAGGCGGGUUCCUGGACAUUAACUGACGCUGAGGCACGAAGGCCAGGGGAGCGAAAGGGAUUAGAUACCCCUGUAGUCCUGGCAGUAAACGGUGCACGCUUGGUGUGCGGGGAAUCGACCCCCUGCGUGCCGGAGCUAACGCGUUAAGCGUGCCGCCUGGGGAGUACGGUCGCAAGAUUAAAACUCAAAGAAAUUGACGGGGACCCGCACAAGCGGUGGAGUAUGUGGCUUAAUUCGAUGCAACGCGAAGAACCUUACCUGGGCUUGACAUGUAAUGAACAACAUGUGAAAGCAUGCGACUCUUCGGAGGCGUUACACAGGUGCUGCAUGGCCGUCGUCAGCUCGUGUCGUGAGAUGUCUGGUUAAGUCCAGCAACGAGCGCAACCCCUGUUGCCAGUUACCAGCACGUGAAGGUGGGGACUCUGGCGAGACUGCCCAGAUCAACUGGGAGGAAGGUGGGGACGACGUCAGGUCAGUAUGGCCCUUAUGCCCAGGGCUGCACACGUACUACAAUGCCCAGUACAGAGGGGGCCGAAGCCGCGAGGCGGAGGAAAUCCUGAAAACUGGGCCCAGUUCGGACUGUAGGCUGCAACCCGCCUACACGAAGCCGGAAUCGCUAGUAAUGGCGCAUCAGCUACGGCGCCGUGAAUACGUUCCCGGGUCUUGCACUAACCGCCCGUCA
rnacentral:rRNA from 1 species